rnacentral:rRNA from 1 species
UACGGGGGAUGCAAGCGUUAUCCGGAAUCACUGGGCGUAAAGCGUCUGUAGGUGGUGAUGCAAGUCACUGGUGCAAAACUCUGGCUCAACCGGAGGAAAGCCAGUGAAACUGCAUGACUAGAGUGUGGGAGAGGUAGAAGGAAUUCCCUGAGUAGCGGUGAAAUGCGUAGAGACAGGGAAGAACACCGGAGGCGAAAGCGUUCUACUGGAACACAACUGACACUGAGAGACGAAAGAUAGGGGAGCGAAUGGG